AGCGAACGCUGGCGGCAGGCCUAACACAUGCAAGUCGAACGAACUCUUCGGAGUUAGUGGCGGACGGGUGAGUAACACGUGGGAACGUGCCUUUUGGUUCGGGAUAACUCAGGGAAACUUGUGCUAAUACCGAAUGUGCCCUUCGGGGGAAAGAUUUAUCGCCAUUAGAGCGGCCCGCGUCUGAUUAGCUAGUUGGUGAGGUAACGGCUCACCAAGGCGACGAUCAGUAGCUGGUCUGAGAGGAUGACCAGCCACACUGGGACUGAGACACGGCCCAGACUCCUACGGGAGGCAGCAGUGGGGAAUCUUGCGCAAUGGGCGAAAGCCUGACGCAGCCAUGCCGCGUGAAUGAUGAAGGUCUUAGGAUUGUAAAAUUCUUUCACCGGGGACGAUAAUGACGGUACCCGGAGAAGAAGCCCCGGCUAACUUCGUG
rnacentral:rRNA from 1 species